GGCCUCAUUUAAGGGCUGACCACCACUGGGGAAGGAUCUCUGGUUGGAGAUUCCUGCCUUAUAGAGUUGCCCCUGCUAGCUGAGAUCUUCAGAGAUAAAUUGCUGUUUGUUUCUUCAGGUGGCAGAGCUGUUCUUCUCCUACUCUUCCUGCUCUAUGUUUGAUGCAUACAGGUAGGAAAGGGAAGAAGCAGCACAAAACAGAGGUAGCAGAAUGGUGGAACCCUUUUACCAAUCUGGAUAAUGAGACUUCACACACAUUAUCUUAGUUUGUCCACUAUUAAGUACAGUCAUUGUAAACAAGGCAAAUGGAAAAAAAAAAAAAAUCCACGGAUGUCUUCUGAGACAGGUUAUGGGGACUUUAUCUUUGUGGUAAUGUGGUUAAAAGUAAGCUAAUAACCAGCUGAAAACAUUUCACUCCAAACAUGGUGAUGCAGGCUGAAAAUCACCAGCACGUUUAAAUGAUGCUUAAAAAGCAAGGCCUGGAGGUGGACAUGGGUUAAUUUCUUGUUCCUAUAAUUAUACACUGAGCAGUUUUAAACUGUUAGAAGGAAAUGUAUUAAUUCUGAACAGAAAUCAGUUUUCACUUUAAUUAAGCUAGGUAAAAGAAAUUAGCAUUUCUCCUCUGUGGCAUCUGGGCAUUAAGACUGAGCUGUUUGACAAUGAUCCUUCCAGCAGGUUUAGACACAAAUGAUGUAACCAGCACAAAUUCCCUCCCCUAUAACAGAACAAGGAAGUGCUGAGUAUUUUCUUACUUAUCAAACCGACCAUCUUAACCCAACAUUCCCACCAGCCAGCAAAUCAACAGCCCCACGCUCCUUUGGUUGGAACAGCUGCAAACAAAACCAAACUGCAAUGAAAUGUGCUUUCCAUUUCCAGCCAAGAUAAAAUGGGACCCAACAGUCCCACCCAAGGUGACUCAUUAAGCAGAAAAGCAGUUCCUCGUCACAGCUGUUAUUAAUGGUGCGAUGGCCGUUACAAACACAGCAGUGCUUCCUUAAGGCCUGUUCUGAACACAGCACAACCCGAGUUGGCUUUGCUUUGAAUUGGUCUCAAAAUGGAUGUGUUGAAGGGCAAAUAUUAACACUGGGUUUUGGUGUCUGUGUGUCACAUGCACACCCAUAGCAUGAGGUGCAAGGCAGCACCGAAUGGCUAUUUCCACGCAGAUGGCUGCAAGGAAGAACAAGCACUGGCCGCAGCUCCUCUCAGGAGAGUGCCUUCAGUGCAGCGACUUCUUGAGCACGAGAGGCAGCGGGUUGUCCUGCACUGGGCAGAAGAAAGAAUGGAUGGCAAUGGGUGUUGUAAAGCUCACGAGCUGCUGAAUGCUGGGAGGAGCAGGCAGUUCUGGAACAGCUGGAAGGGACAGCAGAGGGUGCGCAGGGAAUGGUGUGCGGUUGUGUGGGUCGAAACACCUGGAAUGGGAAGGAGCAGCCCGCCUUGCGCUGCUGGGAAUGGAGAAACUUCGCGUAUUUUUGGUGCUAUGAAGUGACAGAGGGCGGUGAGGGAGGUGCCGUGCUGAAUAACCCUCGAUGGAGUGACCUUGGAAUUGAUGCGAUGAUUUACUGUGCUCGCCUGUGUGACUCUGUCAUAGAGACAGCAGAGGAAAAAAAAAAA